rnacentral:rRNA from 1 species
AUGUUAAGAAAAAAACUGGGAGAUCAGAGAAACACUAGAUUUUGGGAAGACUGGUGGGUGGGAGACAAACCACUCAAGGAUGCUUACCCUUCUCUGUUCUUUAUCAGUUAUGAACAUGGGAUUUCUGUCAGGGGGGGCAUUGAUAAAGGAUGGGAUGGUUUUACAUUCAGGAGAUCUUUGUUUGGAGAAACUGAACAACUUUGGGCUAGCUUGAAAGUGAGAUGUAAAGAAGUUUUGAUGUAUGGAGGUGAUGAUAAACCCAUGUGGAUGCUGACUGCUGACAGAAAAUUCUCUGUCAAAUCACUAUAUAGAUUCUUGAUCAAGACUGAUGUUGGUUUUCCCAGGAAAUUUUUGUGGAAAACUAAAGUCCCUGCCAAGAUCAAGUUCUUUUUGUGGCUACUUGCUAGAAAAAGUAUCCUUACUACAGAUAAUCUGUUGGGGAGAGGAUGA